rnacentral:rRNA from 1 species
GAUGAACGCUAGCGGCAGGCCUAACACAUGCAAGUCGAGGGGCAGCACAGAAACAGCAAUGUUUUGGUGGCGACCGGCGGACGGGUGCGUAACGCGUAUGCAACCUACCUUUAACAGGGGGAUAACGGAGAGAAAUUUCCACUAAUACCCCAUAACAUCGAUCAAGGCAUCUUGAUUGGUUGAAAACUCCGGCGGUUAAAGAUGGGCAUGCGUUGUAUUAGGUAGUUGGUGGGGUAAUGGCUCACCAAGCCUACGAUACAUAGGGGGACUGAGAGGUUAGCCCCCCACACUGGUACUGGGACACGGACCAGACUCCUACGGGAGGCAGCAGUGAGGAAUAUUGGUCAAUGGGGGCAACCCUGAACCAGCCAUGCCGCGUGCAGGAAGACGGCUCUAUGAGUUGUAAACUGCUUUUAAACAGGGAUAAAGCACAGUAUGUAUACUGUGUUGAAGGUACUGUAAGAAUAAGGAUCGGCUAACUCCGUGCCAGCAGCCGCCGUAA